rnacentral:rRNA from 1 species
GAUGAACGCUGGCGGCGUGCCUAAUACAUGCAAGUCGAGCGAACGGACGCGAAGCUUGCUUUUCUGAUGUUAGCGGCGGACGGGUGAGUAACACGUGGAUAACCUACCUAUAAGACUGGGAUAACUUCGGGAAACCGGAGCUAAUACCGGAUAAUAUUUUGAACCGCAUGGUUCAAAAGUGAAAGACGGUCUUGCUGUCACUUAUAGAUGGAUCCGCGCUGCAUUAGCUAGUUGGUAAGGUAACGGCUUACCAAGGCAACGAUGCAUAGCCGACCUGAGAGGGUGAUCGGCCACAGUGGCACUGAGACACGGUCCAGACUCCUACGGGAGGCAGCAGUAGGGAAUCUUGCGCAAUGGGCGAAAGCCUGACGGAGCAGCGGCGCGUGAGUGAUGAAGGUCUUCGGAUCGUAGAACUCUGUUAUUAGGGAAGAUCAUAUGUGUAAGUAACUGUGCACAUCUUGACGGUACCUAAUCAGAAAGCCACGGCUAACUACGUG